GGCGACGCGCGUGCUGGAGGCGGCGGGCGCGGGCCCCGGGGGAGGAGGGCAGCGAAGAGGAGGAGGGCGCAGCCCGCGCGAAGGGGACGUGGCUUCUGGGGAGCCUCCGCAGCCCAAAGAGAAUGCUGAAAUGCAGAGUGCCAGAAGGAGGCAUUUGAAGGAGGAGCGGGUGAGUGGAACCACCUGAAUUCCAUCCCGGUCUUCAUGUCUGCAGCUCCGCGAGACACACCUGAUGUUUCUUCCUUUAGGUCCCCAGAGCUGCAAGGCUGUGGUCUGAAACACUCAGAAACGGGCACUGUUCAUUUCUCCUAUCUAGCAGAACUUCUCAACUUGGAAGAACAUGCCACCACACCUUACUAAAGCAGCUUACAGUUCUGGAGUCCUUUCCUGAAUAAAGCAGUUUCCCAUCUAAGCCAUUAGGUUGAGCAGAUAGUGUUAGACCCAUUUGAGGUGGAGAGUCAUUGAUCCCAUUUAUCAAAUGAAGAAAUUGAAGUUUAAAAAGGGUAAUUGAGAUUCCGUAACCACCCAACAUGCAGGAGUAGCCUGAAGCUCGGGUUCCCUGCCUCUAAGUCACUGCUCUUUCGCUUGCCCAGCCUCUGCAUUGACUUUUGAGGCAGGUUUUGUUUUGACAGGAGAACACCUGCUUGGGCUGCAGCCAGGACUCGCCUUUGUCUCCUGGGUGCUGUUUGAAUUUAAUAGCACCACUGCACUCCAGCCUGGGCAACAGAGUGAGACUCCGUCUCAAAAAAAAAAAAAAAAAAAAAAAAAAAAAAGAAGAAGAAAAGGUGGACUCUUCCUAAUAUCCUAAUACAGCAAGCAGGCACCUUCUUGAGUGCAGCCUAACCCAUGGCCCCAGGUCACCGCUGGCAGUGUUCCCUCCAAAAGUGAGAGUUGCAGAAAUUAAAGGAAGAAAAUACCUUU